rnacentral:rRNA from 1 species
CAGCAGCCGCGGUAAUACGAAGGGUGCAAGCGUUACUCGGAAUUACUGGGCGUAAAGCGUGCGUAGGUGGUGGUUUAAGUCCGUUGUGAAAGCCCUGGGCUCAACCUGGGAAUUGCAGUGGAUACUGGGUCACUAGAGUGUGGUAGAGGAUAGUGGAAUUUCCGGUGUAGCAGUGAAAUGCGUAGAGAUCGGAAGGAACAUCUGUGGCGAAGGCGACUAUCUGGGCCAACACUGACACUGAGGCACGAAAGCGUGGGGAGCAAACAGGGUUAGAUACCCCCGUAGUCCCUGUCUCUUAUAC